UUGCCAGCCCGCUCAGUCAGAGUUUGAUCCUGGCUCGGAUUGAACGCUGGCGGCAGGCUUAACACAUGCAAGUCGAGCGGGGAGAUGUAGCUUGCUACAUUUCCUAGCGGCGGACGGGUGAGUAAUGCUUAGGAAUCUGCCUAUUAGUGGGGGGACAACAUUCCGAAAGGAAUGCUAAUACCGCAUACGCCCUACGGGGGAAAGCAGGGGAUCUUCGGACCUUGCGCUAAUAGAUGAGCCUAAGUCAGAUUAGCUAGUUGGUGGGGUAAAGGCCUACCAAGCGACGAUCUGUAGCGGGUCUGAGAGGAUGAUCCGCCACACUGGGACUGAGACACGGCCCAG
rnacentral:rRNA from 1 species